rnacentral:rRNA from 1 species
AGUGAACGCUGGCGGUAGGCCUAACACAUGCAAGUCGAACGGCAGCACAGUAAGAGCUUGCUCUUACGGGUGGCGAGUGGUGGACGGGUGAGGAAUACAUCGGAAUUUACUUUUUCGUGGGGGCUAACGCAGGGAAACUUACGCCAAUACCGCAUACGACCUACGGGUGAAAGCAGGGGAUCUUCGGACCUUGAGCGAGUGAAUGAGCCGAUGUCGGGUUAGCUAGUUGGCGGGGUAAAGGCCCACCAAGGCGACGAUCCGUAGCUGGUCUGAGAGGAUGAUCAGCCACACUGGAACUGAGACACGGUCCAGACUCCUACGGGAGGCAGCAGUGGGGAAUAUUGGACAAUGGGCGCAAGCCUGAUCCAGCCAUACCGCGUGGGUGAAGAAGGCCUUCGGAUUGUAAAGCCCUUUUGUUGGGAAAGAAAAGCAGCAGGUUAAUACCCCGCUGUUCUGACGGUACCCAAAGAAUAAGCACCGGCUAACUUCGUG